rnacentral:rRNA from 1 species
AUUGAACGCUGGCGGCAUGCCUUACACAUGCAAGUCGAACGGCAGCACGGGAGCAAUCCUGGUGGCGAGUGGCGAACGGGUGAGUAAUAUAUCGGAACGUGUCCGGUCGUGGGGGAUAACGUAGCGAAAGCUACGCUAAUACCGCAUACGAUCUACGGAUGAAAGCGGGGGGAUCGCAAGACCUCGCGCGAUUGGAGCGGCCGAUAUCAGAUUAGGUAGUUGGUGAGGUAAAGGCUCACCAAGCCGACGAUCUGUAGCUGGUCUGAGAGGACGACCAGCCACACUGGGACUGAGACACGGCCCAGACUCCUACGGGAGGCAGCAGUGGGGAAUUUUGGACAAUGGGCGCAAGCCUGAUCCAGCAAUGCCGCGUGCAGGAAGACGGUCCUAUGGAUUGUAAACUGCUUUGUACGGAACGAACGGUGAGCUCUAAUACAGUUUGCUAAUGACGGUACCGUAAGAAGUAAGACACCGGCUAACUACGUG